rnacentral:telomerase_RNA from 1 species
CAACGGGGUGGGACUCUAGAGAUGGGUCUGCUUAUGAUUAACUAAACCCUGAACCUUCCCUCUUACCGUUGGGAAUUUAUACUAUUGGGGGUGUUUGGCCGGCGUUUCCCCCGAAAAAUAAUGAAAAAACGUCGAUGGUUACAUAAGAGGCUCAUCUCCAUGUUGAACCAUUGGGUUGGGUUUGGUUUGUUAGGUGGUUCUGUUGAAACUUUGGUUAGUGUCUGCGGUAAACCGAUUCCUCGCCUUUCCUCCACCCCCAAAUUUU